GCGGCGUUGCUACAGAAUUGUGGUUUAGUGAAUUCCUUACCCUGAACGUUGUUGCUUCCACUGGAUCUAUCAUUUUAUACUCGGUUCUAAAGCGCUAUUUCAACCCGGACAAUAGAAAAGCAACAUCGAUAGUAAAUUUUCUUCAAGAGUCGGACAUCAUCAGCUAGAGCCAACACACAUCCGACCCAGCAGGUCCAACCCAACAUCGAAAUCGACCCGGUUCAAUCUGAUCAGCCGGAAGAAGAUAUGAUCGGCCGGAGAUGGCAUCGGUGGAGGAGCGCCAGAAAGUGGCUGAUCCGAGAGCCGGAGGAUUGGCCGAUCCGAGGGAAACCAGAAGGAUGACAGAGGAGAAAAACCGUGUACCAAAAGUUCUCCAAGCACAACCGGAAGAUCCGGAAUCGAUGCUCCAAGGCUGUGCCCGUGUUGAAAGGUCAAUACGUCGCCGACAAGUGCAUUCCAUUAUGCACCAGCACUAACAGAAACCAGAAAAAUGCGCAUGGAAAAUAAACAAGUCAGAUAAUAGAAAAUCCGAGAAAUACAGCAGGCCAAUAACAUCGUAUUGGCGCUUUUAUGAUGUGAAUACGCUGUCUCGAUAAGGUUUCCUCCAAGCGGUUGAUUAUUCGACACUUAAAUAUCAUGACUACUAAACCCAACUGUGGAUUGGCCGUUCUUGAUGCUACCGUCAAAAUGGUCGGUGAAUGCGAUUUCCUGCAACGAGGUUUGAAGUAUCACUGUUGCUCGAAUGUAGAAUCCUUCGGGUUCACCUGUAAGCAAAAGUACACGUAGAGC